UGUCUCAGAUCGAUCGCAGACGGCGUGCGUAACACAUGCAAGUCGAACGGGAUUUAGGGGAUUGCUCCUAAAUCAUAGUGGCGCAGGGGUGAAUAACGCGUGAAUAAUCUGCCUGACGAUCUAGGAUAACACUUCGAAAGGGGUGCUACUACCGGAUAACCCCACAAGCACUUCGGAGCUCGCGGGAAAAGGGGGGGACCUUCCGGCCUAUCUGUCGAUCAGAUGAGUCCGCGUACCAUUAGCUAGUUGGGGGGGUAAUGGCCUACCGGGGCGACAAUAGUAAGCUGGUCUGAGAGGAUGAUCACCCACACUGAGACCUGAGACACGGUCCAGACUCCUACUGGAGGCAACGGUGGGGAAUUUUGCGCAAUGGGGGAAACCCUGACACAACAGCCCCCCGUGAGUGAUGAACGCCUUCGGGUCAUAAAGCUCUGUCAGAUGGAAACAAGUGUGCUAUGGCUAACAUCCAUGGCACUUGACGGUACCCUCAAAGGAAGCACCGGCUAGAUCUCGUGCCAGCAGCCGCGGUAAUACGGAGGGUGCGAGCGUUGUUCGGAAUUAUUGGGCGUAAAGCGCGUGUAGGCGGUUUUUUAAGUCUGAUGUGAAAGCCCUGGGCUCAACCUGGGAAUUGCAUUGGAAACUGGAAGACUUGAGUAUGGGAGAGGGCAGUGGAAUUCCUAGUGUAGGACUGAAAUCUGUAGAUAUUAGGAGGAACACCGGUGGGGAAGGCGGAUCCCCGGACCGAUACAGACGCUGAGACGCGAAAGAGUGGGGAGCAAACACGAUUAGAUACCCCGGUAGUGCACGCCGUAAACGAUGAGUAUUAGGUGUCGCGGGUAUUGACUCCAUGCGGUGCCGCAGCUAACGCAUUAAGUACUCCGCCUG
rnacentral:rRNA from 1 species